UACGUAGGGUGCAAGCGUUGUCCGGAAUUAUUGGGCGUAAAGAGCUCGUAGGCGGUUUGUCGCGUCUGCUGUGAAAACUGGAGGCUCAACCUCCAGCCUGCAGUGGGUACGGGCAGACUAGAGUGCGGUAGGGGUGACUGGAAUUCCUGGUGUAGCGGUGAAAUGCGCAGAUAUCAGGAGGAACACCGGUGGCGAAGGCGGGUCUCUGGGCAGUAACUGACGCUGGAGGAGCGAAAGCGUGGGGAGCGAACAGG
rnacentral:rRNA from 1 species